rnacentral:tRNA from 1 species
UAGCUCAGUAGGUAGAGCAUGGUGUUUGCAACGCCAGGGUUGUGAGUUCGAUUCCCAC